rnacentral:rRNA from 1 species
UGGGGAAUUUUGGACAAUGGGGGCAACCCUGAUCCAGCAAUGCCGCGUGUGUGAAGAAGGCCUUCGGGUUGUAAAGCACUUUUGUCCGGAAAGAAAUCCUCUGGGUUAAUACCCCGGGGGGAUGACGGUACCGGAAGAAUAAGCACCGGCUAACUACGUGCCAGCAGCCGCGGUAAUACGUAGGGUGCGAGCGUUAAUCGGAAUUACUGGGCGUAAAGCGUGCGCAGGCGGUCCGCUAAGACCGAUGUGAAAUCCCCGGGCUUAACCUGGGAACUGCAUUGGUGACUGGCGGGCUAGAGUGUGGCAGAGGGGGGUAGAAUUCCACGUGUAGCAGUGAAAUGCGUAGAGAUGUGGAGGAAUACCGGUGGCGAAGGCGGCAUCCUGGACCGGCAUUGACGCUGAGGCGCGAAAGCCAGGGGAGCAAAC